UGCAGUGAGCCGAGAUCAUGCCUGGGUGACAGAGCGAGACUCCGUCUCGAAAACAGAAAAACAAGAAACCAAAAAGCCCUACCUCAGUACCUCAGUCACCAAGAGCCCCAAGCAGAGUUACCGGAAGAUAGCUGACAUGUAUUAAAUGUUUGUGGAAUAAGGAAUACAUGAAGAAGUCUAUCAUUCAAUCAAAGAAAACUAAGUAUCAUUGGAGGUCUUUCCAUUUUGGGGUCCAGUGGGUGUCCUUUGAGUCAAGAGCAUGAUCUUCAAUAGACUUGGGGCCAGAAAUGUGACAUGUGUCUGAAUCCAAUCAGAUCCAGUUAAGAUCCACAAAUGCUAGUCACUGGAAUCUGCAGCCCUUGAAUUAAUUCUGUCCUUAGAUUUGAUAAGCCAAUGUCAGAUUUAUUGUUGUUAUUUAUUAUUCUGUCCCUCCAGGAUGACAUUAGGAACAUACUGUCAAGAAAAGGAUGAUGCGUGUGCUGCAAAAUGCAGGACAAUUCACUUUCCAGGUGGGGUCUGGGGCCUGUGGCUUCUCUGUGAACUUUCUUUGUGUGCUGUGGAAUAUUUUCCAGCUGCAGCCUAUUGUCCUGUGAUUAGACUCUGGGGCUCCACAGUUCUGGUGGCUGGAAGUCCAAGAUCAGGAUGCCAGCAUGGUCAAGUUCUUGAAUCUUGAUGACUAGCAUUUGGAGGAACACACCUUGGGAAAUGGUGAUUCUGUCCAAACUUUUUGUGUUAUGGCUGUGAGAAAUAGACUUACAGAAGGAGAUGUCCGCCCCACAUCUCUAAACUCAUGGGUGGAAACUCAGACUAAGACGGCACCUAGAAUGUGGUCCAGCACAUUGAGAAUAGAGCAGAAGAUGAAAGCUGGAGGGGCUGAGGGGCCUUGGAGGCAGAGUUGGGCUCAACUUCUCAUUCCCUGGGACGAACUGUGCACAGUAGCCUCUGCUCCUCCUUCUUCAGUGAAGACUGCGAUGCCUGUGUUGGGGCUCAGAAACCGAUACCCCAAAAUAUGAUGCUUUGUACAUGCUGAACUGAAACAGGAGCUUUAAGCUCUUUCAGGCCUCCCCACAUCUUACCGUCUCUCCCAAAGUGUAGGAUUCUCUGAAAGUCUUUGUCUGCCUAAAGUCCAGACCUACCAAUGAAGAAAACAAUCACCUCCUGCCCUUUGUCUGAGUUUUCAUGAGCUGAACCCAUAUUGCAGGAAGGAAGGCUAAGAUCUGUCAACACACCUGGGCAGACUUUUGUCACAAACCAUUGUCUGCUCUGAGGACCCAAAAGAGCUUGUCCCAGAUAAUUGCCUGUUCUUUAAGGCUAUUAAAUUCUCCCUGGUAACCAUUUACUGUCCUUCAACGGAAGUCCUCUUCUUCCCCCUCCCAUGACCUGUAUGACCAGCUCCCAUGCCCCCAUUCUUUCUGUAACCUCAAGAUGGUUUAUAAA